rnacentral:lncRNA from 1 species
UAUAGAUAGAUAUAACAGAUCCAUUGAUGAUGUGAACAAAACCGCCAAUAUGUUUUACCAAAUAUUCAUUAUUUCCUGAAAGCGACAGAAGCGACUUUGAAUGUAACUAGCAUGUUUUCAGAGCCUUUUAUAUCCAGUAAUAAGUUUUACAUGAGAAUUUAGUUGUAGCGGAAGACAAAUCAAUAAAUCCGCGGGAAAACCAUUUGUAGCAACAUUUUGAAGAACAGGGUUCAAUCAUAGCAUUUUAACAGC